ACUCCUACGGGAGGCAGCAGUGGGGAAUAUUGCACAAUGGCGCAAGCCUGAUGCAGCCAUGCCGCGUGUGUGAAGAAGCCUCGGGUUGUAAAGCACUUUCAGUUGUGAGGAAAGUUAGUCGCUAAUAUCGGNUAGCUGUGACGUUAGCAACAGAAGAAGCACCGGCUAACUCCGUGCCAGCAGCCGCGGUAAUACGGAGGGUGCGAGCGUUAAUCGGAAUUACUGGGCGUAAAGCGCGUGUAGGUGGCUUGUUAAGCCAGAUGUGAAA
rnacentral:rRNA from 1 species